rnacentral:rRNA from 1 species
GGGGCAUUUUAGUGAUCCGGGNUAUAUUACGGACCCAAAAUUACUUGUUCAAGCAUUGUUUUCGAAUUUUUUCAUGCAUCAAAGCUCGUUAAGACUAGAUGGGGUAUCCCUACAUAGCGGGUGGGACCCACGGCGAAUGGUUCAUCAAGUCUUCAAAAAAGAAUAUAUACGAUUGCAUUGCAUAUACUAACGGAUGCGAUCAUACCAGCACUAAUGCACCGGAUCCCAUCAGAACUCCGCAGUUAAGCGUGCUUGGGCGAGAGUAGUACUAGGAUGGGUGACCUCCCGGGAAGUCCUCGUGUUGCAUCCCUCUUUUAUGUUUAACCUUUUUUUUUUUGGUUAAAACUUUAUGACUCCAUAACUUCUAAACAG